rnacentral:rRNA from 1 species
UACGAAGGGGGCUAGCGUUGUUCGGAAUUACUGGGCGUAAAGCGCGCGUAGGCGGUGAUCUUUGUCAGAGGUGAAAGCCCGGGGCUCAACUCCGGAAUUGCCUUUGAAACGGGAUCGCUUGAGUCCGGAAGAGGCGAGUGGAAUUCCUGGUGUAGCGGUGAAAUGCGCAGAUAUCAGGAGGAACACCAAUGGCGAAGGCAGCUCGCUGGGACGGUACUGACGCUGAGACGCGAAAGCGUGGGGAGCAAACAGG